rnacentral:lncRNA from 1 species
UUCUUUCAAGAAGAAGAAAAAGCCCAUGAUGAAAUAGAAGAACGAGGCUAAACCCAAAAAGCAGGUUCCUAAGAAGAUGGAUGACAAGAGAAAGUAUUUCCAUUGUAAUGUUGAAGGUCAUGGAGAAAGAACUGUCCGGCCUACCUAACGACUGUCAAGAGCAGGAAGAAGGAUGGACCUUCUGAAGGUACAUCUGAAAUACUCAUUAUUGAAACUAAUGUAAUGAUUUUCUCUUCUUCUCGUUGGGUUCUUGAUUCUGGUUCAAGUGCUCAUUUGUGCACUUCAAUGCAGGGUCUUGAAAAAAUUAGGGGGCUGA